GGCAAGGCUCUGCUCCAACAAUCUCACAGGGUGAUGUUUUGUCUGGGCCAGCAGGAGAAAGGAAACCAUUAGCUCCUUUAAGGAUUACGUACACAUCCUUCCCUCCUUGUGAAGGAUUGAGGAGAAGAUAGGACUGGGCUCCUGACACGUAGCAGGAGCCAGAGAUUUUCCCUUACCCCACACAGAAACAGAGGACAGCAGUGACUGGAAUGGGUAUGUGAAGAUCACCUCCCUUUUGUUUUGGCCUCCCUUCAUCUCUCUGAUUUCGCUGAAUCCACGGAAGAAGUUGUUGCCCUGAGUGCUUUACUCAGGGUCUGGUCCUAAGCCAGUGUAAUGGAACGACUCCAAUUUUCUUCAGUGGGCUUUGGAUCAGAUUUAAGGACCCAAAUGUGAGUAAGCUCACUGACUUCAGCAGGAUAUAUGCCAGGGUAAGGUGAGCAAAAUCAAACUCUAAACAUGAAAUACACUUAACUGUCCCCAGGUUAGGGUCUUUUUGACCCCAGAAUUAAAUUGUGCUGAGACUUGUAUAAUCCUGUUUAAGCAAGUGACGCCAU